AGUGAACGCUGGCGGUAGGCCUAACACAUGCAAGUCGAACGGCAGCACAGGAGAGCUUGCUCUCUGGGUGGCGAGUGGCGGACGGGUGAGGAAUACAUCGGAAUCUACUCUGUCGUGGGGGAUAACGUAGGGAAACUUACGCUAAUACCGCAUACGACCUACGGGUGAAAGCAGGGGACCUUCGGGCCUUGCGCGAUUGAAUGAGCCGAUGUCGGAUUAGCUAGUUGGCGGGGUAAAGGCCCACCAAGGCGACGAUCCGUAGCUGGUCUGAGAGUAUGAUCAGCCACACUGGAACUGAGACACGGUCCAGACUCCUACGGGAGGCAGCAGUGGGGAAUAUUGGACAAUGGGCGCAAGCCUGAUCCAGCCAUACCGCGUGGGUGAAGAAGGCCUUCGGGUUGUAAAGCCCUUUUGUUGGGAAAGAAAUCCAGCUGGCUAAUACCCGGUUGGGAUGACGGUACCCAAAGAACAAGCACCGGCUAACUUCGUGCCAGCAGCCGCGGUAA
rnacentral:rRNA from 1 species